rnacentral:rRNA from 1 species
AGUGAACGCUGGCGGUAGGCCUAACACAUGCAAGUCGAACGGCAGCACAGUAAGAGCUUGCUCUUACGGGUGGCGAGUGGCGGACGGGUGAGGAAUACAUCGGAAUCUACUUUUUCGUGGGGGAUAACGUAGGGAAACUUACGCUAAUACCGCAUACGACCUACGGGGGAAAGCAGGGGAUCUUCGGACCUUGCGCGAUUGAAUGAGCCGAUGUCGGAUUAGCUAGUUGGCGGGGUAAAGGCCCACCAAGGCGACGAUCCGUAGCUGGUCUGAGAGGAUGAUCAGCCACACUGGAACUGAGACACGGUCCAGACUCCUACGGGAGGCAGCAGUGGGGAAUAUUGGACAAUGGGCGCAAGCCUGCUCCAGCCAUACCGCGUGGGUGAAGAAGGCCUUCGGGUUGUAAAGCCCUUUUGUUGGGAAAGAAAAGCAGCAGGUUAAUACCCCGCUGUUCUGACGGUACCCAAAGAAUAAGCACCGGCUAACUUCGUG